ACAGCUGCAGCUGAGUCUCGUAGGUGCAGCCUCGGUAAGCCCCGGAGCGGAUCACCUUGCUGCGAAUGGCCUUCUUGCGCACCAGUGUGGGGCACCAAGAGGGGCCGACAACGGGCAGGCAGACUCAGGCCCAGCCACGUCAGGUCAGGCAAAGCCCCCUCCCACUCAAGUCCAGCACUCCCCUCCUAUGACCCCCUAACCCUCGCCCAGGUCCCCUGUCCACUGCCCGCUCCCUGGCUGGGGUGCCGCAUACCCCACUGCCCACAGGCCCCUCUGCAGGAAGCCGCCGGAAGGAGACCAAUGCAUGAACGUUCUGUGAAAGCUGAUCGCGGCUGAAGGGUUCCCGUACAAGGCCAGGGGGGCCCCCCGGGCUGGACAGUGGCUUCAGGGGCAUGUCUCCUGCAGACGCCAGGCAGGGCUCAGGCUGUGCCCGCUCCUCAGGGUGCUGCAAGAGGGACAGACCAAUGCUACAGCGCGGCUCAUGUCACAAGACCUCAGAAGGGAAGAGUGGUCUAGAGGACUCCAGACUACUUCUAAUCACUGCACUUAGGAUCAGAGAGACCUGUGUCCAGAUGCUGUGUGAGUCUGGGCAAGCCGACCCACCUCUCUGAGCCUCCAUUUCCUCAUCCCCAAACCUGGGAUAAUGUGAGGAGGCAAGACCUGAAUGGAGGAGCAGGCACCCAGCAUGAUGCCAUCUGGGCGGGGAGCGACACUGAACAGUGAGUCACCAGCACCAGAAGAGCCAGAAAUAAAGGCUGCGUGCUCCCCUUGACCUUCCUGGUUCCUCCCUCCUGUACUCUCUCCCCUCCUGCUUUUCUGGUCUCACACCCACUUUGUGAUCCUGACCGUUCUUCACAUCAUGUCCAUCACCUAUCCUCCAUUUGAUGU